AGCGAACGCUGGCGGCAGGCCUAACACAUGCAAGUCGAACGAACUCUUCGGAGUUAGUGGCGGACGGGUGAGUAACACGUGGGAACGUUCCUUUAGGUUCGGAAUAACUCAGGGAAACUUGUGCUAAUACCGAAUGUGCCCUUCGGGGGAAAGAUUUAUCGCCUUUAGAGCGGCCCGCGUCUGAUUAGCUAGUUGGUGAGGUAAAGGCUCACCAAGGCGACGAUCAGUAGCUGGUCUGAGAGGAUGAUCAGCCACAUUGGGACUGAGACACGGCCCAAACUCCUACGGGAGGCAGCAGUGGGGAAUCUUGCGCAAUGGGCGAAAGCCUGACGCAGCCAUGCCGCGUGAAUGAUGAAGGUCUUAGGAUUGUAAAAUUCUUUCACCGGGGACGAUAAUGACGGUACCCGGAGAAGAAGCCCCGGCUAACUUCGUG
rnacentral:rRNA from 1 species